rnacentral:misc_RNA from 1 species
AGGCAGAAGCCAUUUCUAUUGAUGAUAAAAUGUUCUCAGAGCUUUUGAAUUCUCGUAAUUGUAGAGCCUUCAAAUAUCUAAAUCUUCCUAACCUUCCUUAUCUAUCUUUUCAAAUUAGUCAAAACCUAACCUUAUUCGAAUGCAACAACAAGCUUAGUGAUCAUCCUUCCCUGUUGGAGUAUUCAGGCUGCAAUAACUCAAGUAUAUAUUAUACUGAACGAGAAAUUUUGCCAAGUCUUCCACCUCAGUGUUCACUUAUUCAGCUUCCCCGGACUCAAAAUGGUCAGGAUGACAUAUUUACUCAGUUAACUGCCAA